ACCAAUAGGCAAAUCAGACACUGUAACCGGUUUCAGUUUUGUCUAAUAACUAUCAUGGCUGACAAAAGAGGAGAUUCAGGCAGUGAUUCUGACAGCAUUGACGAGCCUGUUGUGGGUAACGUCAAUAAGUUCGCGGUCGUUCCUCCAGGAUUUACAGGGAAGCCCAAAAAGGGUCAUUUGAUAUUUGAUGCUUGUUUUGAAAGUGGUAAUCUUGGGAGGGUGGACUACAUUACAGAGUUUGAGUAUGACCUGUUCAUCCGCCCAGACACUUGUAAUCCUCGUUUCCGAGUUUGGUUUAACUUCACAGUCGAAAAUGUCAAGUCGGAACAGCGAGUCAUAUUUAAUAUUGUCAACUUCAGUAAGACAAAGUCACUGUAUCGAGAUGGAAUGUCUCCACUUGUCAAGUCCACCAGCAGACCUCGGUGGGUGAGGAUCCCAGCUAAGUAUGUUUACUACUACCGAUGUCCGGAUCACCGGAAGAACUACGUCAUGUCGUUUGCGUUUAACUUCGACCGAGAGGAUGAUGUCUACCAGUUUGGUUACUGCUUCCCGUACUCGUACACGCGGCUUCAGAACUACCUCGAUAAUCUGGAGAGAAGAAACAUGGACUUCUUUAACAGAGAAUUACUUUGUCUGACCGUUCAACAGAGACGGUUGGACCUGCUGACAAUCACGCACCCGGACAAUCUGGAGAAUGAGUCGGACGAGAAGCAGAAACUUGUCUUCAUCACUGCCCGCGUACAUCCCGGAGAAACGCCCUCGUCAUUCGUCUGUCAAGGUAUAAUAGAUUUUCUUAUUAGUAAUCAUCCAAUAGCAAAAAUACUCCGGGAUUACAUCAUCUUCAAGAUUGUUCCCAUGCUCAACCCAGAUGGCGUAUUCUUAGGCAAUUACAGGUGUUCACUGAUGGGAUUUGAUCUCAAUCGCCACUGGUUGGAACCGUCUCCGUGGGCACAUCCGACUCUGUAUGCCACCAAGAACCUCCUGAUGGAGUUGGACCGGAAUGAGAAGUACGAUGUAGAUUUCUACAUUGACCUGCACGCCCACUCGACGUUGAUGAAUGGUUUCAUGUACGGCAACACGUACGAAGACAUGGAGCGGUAUGAGCGACAGUCGGUGUUCCCCAAACUACUGUGUGCCAAUGCGGAGGACUUCUCACUCUCAAACACGAACUUCAACAAGGACGCCGUCAAGGCUGGGACAGGGCGCAGGACUCUGGGAGGCUGUAUGGAUGAGAAGGUUCACUGUUACACUCUGGAAGUCUCCUUCUUCAGCUACCAGACGACCACCACGGGACAGUCAGUCGCCUAUACAGAGGAAGCUUACAUGAAAUUAGGUCGCAACGUUGUGCGCACCUUCCUCGAUUACUACAAGCUGGUUGGUGGAAUCAGUGCUAAACCAAGCAGUAGCAUUGUGCCGAAACCGGGAUUCUUCCGACAGAGGGACCGACAGAACAACGAGAGAGCAAUGUCGGAAUCAGCUGUCAGACAGUUCGAUAACUACUCAGGUCAAAGAUAUUGGUUAAUGUAUGGACAAAACAUAAUAGCUAUUUCGACGCUUUAACAAUGGUGGUUUAUUUCGUAUUGAAAAUAAUAUAUAUCUAUUGCUAGUUUACUGGGAUGGAUCUUAUUACAGAACAUUGCAAUACAUCCACAAAAAUCAGGUUUCUGGACCGAAACCAGGCGAGAUCGAUGGAGUAUUCAAUCAACAGCAGCAACGCGUUCUCGGAAGCUCCAACGUCAAUCCGACUACAGCUGAAAGAGAGAAAGUUCUAACAGCACCUAGUGGCCGUAACUGUGAUUUGUACUUUAGCAUCGGAGCGUUGCAGACCUCAUGCACCAGCGUUUGUUGUAUACAUGUGCAGUUAACACUGUGUACUGUGUAGUAAAAUCAAUAUUCUUUCUACACAAGGUGCAAAGUUGCUGUAAUAUGAGUAAAACAAUGCUAGAGAUGUCCAGUCAUCCAUUCAUCCAUCCGUCCAUCCCUCCUGUGAGUGAUUUGUUCACUAAACCAUAUACAGCUUGUCAAUAUGUAUAUCAAUGAUGCGGAUUGUAAACAGUUAUAAAUAAUUUUGGUGUGAUUGUAUGUGUUAUGUACAAACACCUCAUGAACGUUACACUUCAUCACAGGGAUUAAUCCAGGCAUUCUAUGGGUCCAAACAUACGUUCCUCUUCCAAAUGAAGGAAUCACUGAAACUUCCCAAUUUUUAUGCUAAAAAUUCCCAAUAUAUUUAUUUAAUAUUAUUUUGUCUGUUCCAAAAAAUAUCCCAAGUAUUAUUUACUUAGCUAAUUUUCACAAUCCCAUCAGACAUGGAACCUGGUGAAGAAAUCUUGUAAAAAUCCCUGUCUCAACAUUACACCUGACUGACACUACACAUUGUGACAUACCACUGUGACAUACCACAGUGACAUACCACUGUGACCAUUGUGAUUCAUUAUACACGUCUUCCGCCAUGAACUACAGCUAUGUCAUUCACGUCACCUAUUUGGUAUUGAGUGAUUUUGGUAACAUUGAUUGAAUUUAGCAUGAGAAUAUUUUAGUUAAUGUCGGGGUAAAAGUUAAGAAAUAUUUCUAUUGGCCUGGGGGACCAGUAGCCUAGAAACAUUGUUAGUCCCCCACCCCCACAAUAAUUGUGACUGACAAAUACUCGUUCUAAAAAAACAAGAAGCCUUAGUAUGACAGUUUAAAAUAAUCAGAUCAGAGCAUACCUAACUGGUGUGGGAGACUUGUGGUAUUUAAAAUAAUCACAUCGGAGCCUACCUAACUGGUGUGGGAGACUUGUGGUAUUUAAAAUAAUCACAUCGGAGCCUACCUAACUGGUGUGGGGGACUUGUGGUAUUUAAAAUAAUCACAUCGGAGCCUACCUAACUGGUGUGGGGGACUUGUGGUAUUUAAAAUAAUCACAUCGGAGCCUACCUAACUGGUGUGGGAGACUUGUGGUAUUUAAAGUGAACUCUAGUACUAGAUUUCACACUCACCUGAGGUGAGGGCAAAUGUUAUGUUUUUUCUUCUGUAAAUAUUGAGGUAUAUGUCUCUUAUUAAACUUCCCCAUUGUAUUAUUAAAUAUAUUUUGAAUACAGUAAAGUGGGUAAUUUUCAUUGGUGGAAAUUUUCUUGAUGUUGUAAAUACGGUUCAUUUACAGUACGUUUUAAAUUUUGUUUCCGCUAAUGUUAUGUAGUGUUUGAUACAUGUAUGAACUUCUCUCUGAUACCUAGAAUAUACCAUGUACAGAAAAGAACUUACCUUUUAGCUGUAACAAAUAAGACCAUCUCAAGUCUUGUGUUCGCCAGCCACUUGUAUUAUGUGUGUCAAAGCCAUUUAAUUUUGGAUGUAAAAUAAUCUGCAUAUUUAUUGUUUGUAUGAAUGAAUUAUCAACAUUUGUUUGUGGUAAUCAUUGUAACAGGUUAUUGUAAUAUGUACAACUGCAGAUAAUUUCUACAAGUAUCAUACAAUUGUCUUUUCCAGAAAUGUCUUUGUAUUAGUAUGUUUGAAGCAUGAUUGGAAGAAAGUGAACUGAAGUAUGUUGAACUUCUACCCCAAAACAGUAUGCUAGAUUUGUAUGUUUAUAACAAAGCUCUGUGAUUUUUCAUGUUAAUAUAUUGUCUCCAUUUAAUUACAGUUGUGAAAAUUACAUUAAAAAUAGUAUACCCAUUUUACUGUAUUAUUUUUAAAAUGCUGUGAUAUUUAAUCAGUGUGAAAGAGUAACAUCUCAACAGACUUGUUCAUGGUCACCAAUAGGGCCUACUAAGUGCCAGACUUAAGUUUUAGACUUUACAUGUAGCCGUUAUCCAGUGUUUUUAGUUUUAGACUUUACAUGUAGCCGUUAUCCAGUGUUUUUAGUUUUAUCUGGUGUUGUAUCUUUGUACCAGUAAGUCUUCGAAUGAUGUUUUAUAAAUUAGUUUUCCACGUUCUAAACUAUAUUGCAUUAUAUCUGUUGACCAUUUUUAUAGUUGUAUUGUUAUUUCUCCUGAUGGAUGUUUUCCCUGAAAAGCCUCGUUUAGAUCAUGGCUCCAUUUUUAGGUAUUUGUCGUCUGGCAUCUCUUUGAAAAAACGUUGAAUGGAUGCUAAUAAAUACGAGAACAAACAUUGUCACCAAGAUCUUUCCAAGUGUAUAUAAAAUCAAAGUGGACCACCAAAACCAGAAAAUAAUUAAAUCUUCAAGUUUUCUUUAAAAAGUCUAACACUGGUUGUAUUGUCCUCACAGAGUGCCGUUAUUUUUAAACUCAGUUCAAAAGUAAGUCGUAACUUUUUAACCAUUGCCAAAUCAUUUGAAAAUGAACAAAAGUUACGACCAAGUAUUAAAACAAACUCAGCACAGAGAGUUAGUAUUAACCUAUCGAAAGGCAACACGCCACCAUCCAGUGUUAGUUCUUUGUAGCAGCUUAAUCAUAUUGAUGUACUUAACCGUAACUUGUGACACCCCAAAGCUGAUGUCUAUUUUUGUUGUGGGGUGUCGUUAAACAUUAAAUCAUAUUGAUGUACUUGUGUGACACCCAAUAGCUGAUCUCUGUCUAUGUGCUGGGGUGUCAUUAAACAUGCAUUCAUUCAUUCACUGUAACAGUCCUCUUUAGGAAAUGAGUCUUCACUGAAACAAAUAUACAUUUGUAUAUAAAAUAUAUAUUUGUUUUUUCAAAUCUUUCUUUCAUGAUUUCAAAGUUGACAUCUGUAGCAUUUAAAUAACCCAUUGCUUUGAAGUUACUGGUACUUGUUAAGUUUAAUAUUAAAUGAUAACAACUGGAUUAAUUUUGAUGACCAUAAAGGUAUUUAUUAGUGGGAUGAAUAUGGAAACUGCAGACUACUAAUGUGUAUGUUUGCUAUUGCUCACAAACAUGUCUUUCCCAACAAUAGGGCCAGCAAUGUUUGUUGUGGCAUUCUACAGGUACAAAAGGUACUUAAUGAGUGCACUAGUCAGAACCACAUUUAAACACAUUGUGUACUCUUUUACUUUUGUCUCUACACAGUAUCACAGGUGAAAUCUCAUACAAUACUUUAGUAAGCUCGUUAUGAGAAUGAUGGCACGAGGAAUUAUUGCGUAAAUAAUCAGACAGUGCAUAUAAAAAUAUAGUCAGUUCCAUCCUUCUGCAAAAAUGUUUUUUGUAAAAAAAUUCAGUAAAGUGUUUUGGAAAUAAAAAAAUAUACUAUUUUUGUGUGUAAUUUAAAAGACUCAGAAAUAAAUAACUAGUAGGGAAUUUCAUGAAAAAAGUGUUUCCUGUGGGACGGACUAUAGACUAGAAGCCAGAUGGAUCACGCACAUUAUUACUGUGAUAGUGUUACCAUUGUGUCAAACACUGAAAUUUGUGUCAAUAUGUCAAAUGUUUUUAUUACAUUAUUUAUAGAUAAACAUGUUUUGCUGUUA